UUUUGAACUAAAGUCCUUCACAAGUUCAGAUCAUAUUGAAUGUUUUUUUCCUAAGUUGCCUAUGACAAUAUGAUGGUUGAUGUAAGGAGCAGAAUUAUAUAUAUUUUUAACAUGUUCACCGGGUAAUAAUAGGUGAAGGGGGGACUAGCACUCAGAUGCAGUGCUUCGCUAAAAGAAAUUUUGGCUUCUAUUGACACUUUAACGCAAUUUAAAGACAAUGGCACCAAAUGAACUUAAAUAUAAGUUUAGAAUCAUAAAUUAUUUUAUUUGUGUACCAUAGAUUACUGGACUAAAUUGUAAUCUUCUUUAACUAAAUAAUAUCCUUUUAUUUUGUGUAAAUAAAUUCGGACUCGAAAAUGUUUGGAUAAGGGCAAAA